rnacentral:rRNA from 1 species
UGCAGUCGACGGUAACAGGAAGCAGCUUGCGGCUUCGCUGACGAGUGGCGGACGGGUGAGUAAUGUCUGGGAAACUGCCUGAUGGAGGGGGAUAACUACUGGAAACGGUAGCUAAUACCGCAUAACGUCGCAAGACCAAAGAGGGGGACCUUCGGGCCUCUUGCCAUCGGAUGUGCCCAGAUGGGAUUAGCUAGUAGGUGGGGUAACGGCUCACCUAGGCGACGAUCCCUAGCUGGUCUGAGAGGAUGACCAGCCACACUGGAACUGAGACACGGUCCAGACUCCUACGGGAGGCAGCAGUGGGGAAUAUUGCACAAUGGGCGCAAGCCUGAUGCAGCCAUGCCGCGUGUAUGAAGAAGGCCUUCGGGUUGUAAAGUACUUUCAGCGGGGAGGAAGGUGUUGAGGUUAAUAACCUCAGCAAUUGACGUUACCCGCAGAAGAAGCACCGGCUAACUCCGUGCCAGCAGCCGCGGUAAUACGGAGGGUGCAAGCGUUAAUCGGAAUUACUGGGCGUAAAGCGCACGCAGGCGGUCUGUCAAGUCGGAUGUGAAAUCCCCGGGCUCAACCUGGGAACUGCAUUCGAAACUGGCAGGCUAGAGUCUUGUAGAGGGGGGUAGAAUUCCAGGUGUAGCGUGAAAUGCGUAGAGAUCUGGAGGAAUACCGGUGGCGAAGGCGGCCCCCUGGACAAAGACUGACGCUCAGGUGC